rnacentral:rRNA from 1 species
UACGAAGGGGGCUAGCGUUGUUCGGAAUCACUGGGCGUAAAGGGCGCGUAGGCGGACUCUUAAGUCGGAGGUGAAAUCCUGUGGCUCAACCACAGAACUGCCUUUGAUACUGGGAGCCUCGAGUUCGAGAGAGGUUGGUGGAACUGCGAGUGUAGAGGUGAAAUUCGUAGAUAUUCGCAAGAACACCGGUGGCGAAGGCGGCCAACUGGCUCGAUACUGACGCUGAGGUGCGAAAGCGUGGGGAG